rnacentral:rRNA from 1 species
UGCAUAUCAAAAAAGCGGAGGAAAAGAAACCAACAGGGAUUGCCCUAGUAACGGCGAGUGAAGCGGCAACAGCUCAAAUUUGAAAUCUGGCGUCUUUGGCGUCCGAGUUGUAAUUUGCAGAGGGCGCUUUGGCAUUGGCAGCGGUCCAAGUUCCUUGGAACAGGACGUCACAGAGGGUGAGAAUCCCGUACGUGGUCGCUAGCCUUUACCGUGUAAAGCCCCUUCGACGAGUCGAGUUGUUUGGGAAUGCAGCUCUAAAUGGGAGGUAAAUUUCUUCUAAAGCUAAAUACUGGCCAGAGACCGAUAGCGCACAAGUAGAGUGAUCGAAAGAUGAAAAGCACUUUGGAAAGAGAGUUAAAAAGCACGUGAAAUUGUUGAAAGGGAAGCGCUUGCAGCCAGACUUGCCUGUAGUUGCUCAUCCGGGUUUCUACCCGGUGCACUCUUCUAUAGGCAGGCCAGCAUCAGUUUGGGCGGUUGGAUAAAGAUCUCUGUCAUGUACCUCUCUUCGGGGAGAACUUAUAGGGGAGAUGACAUGCAACCAGCCCGGACUGAGGUCCGCGCAUCUGCUAGGAUGCUGGCGUAAUGGCUGUAAGCGGCCCGUCUUGAAACCACGGACCA